ACGGGAGGCAGCAGUGGGGAAUAUUGCACAAUGGGCGAAAGCCUGAUGCAGCGACGCCGCGUGAGUGAAGAAGUAUCUCGGUAUGUAAAGCUCUAUCAGCAGGGAAGAAAAUGACGGUACCUGACUAAGAAGCCCCGGCUAACUACGUGCCAGCAGCCGCGGUAAUACGUAGGGGGCAAGCGUUAUCCGGAUUUACUGGGUGUAAAGGGAGCGUAGACGGCACAGCAAGUCUGAAGUGAAAUGUAGGGGCUUAACCCCUGAACUGCUUUGGAAACUGUUGGGCUUGAGUACCGGAGGGGCAGGCGGAAUUCCUGGUGUAGCGGUGAAAUGCGUAGAUAUCAGGAAGAACACCGGUGGCGAAGGCGGCCUGCUGGACGGUAACUGACGUUGAUGCUCGAAAGCGUGGGGAGCAAACAGGAUUAGAUACCCUGGUA
rnacentral:rRNA from 1 species